rnacentral:rRNA from 1 species
AGUGAACGCUGGCGGUAGGCCUAACACAUGCGAGUCGAACGGCAGCACAGGAGAGCUUGCUCUCUGGGUGGCGAGUGGCGGACGGGUGAGGAAUACAUCGGAAUCUGCCCAGUCGUGGGGGAUAACGUAGGGAAACUUACGCUAAUACCGCAUACGACCUUCGGGUGAAAGAGGGGGAUCGCAAGACCUCUCGCGAUUGGAUGAGCCGAUGUCGGAUUAGCUAGUUGGCGGGGUAAUGGCCCACCAAGGCGACGAUCCGUAGCUGGUCUGAGAGGAUGAUCAGCCACACUGGAACUGAGACACGGUCCAGACUCCUACGGGAGGCAGCAGUGGGGAAUAUUGGACAAUGGGCGCAAGCCUGAUCCAGCCAUACCGCGUGGGUGAAGAAGGCCUUCGGGUUGUAAAGCCCUUUUGUUGGGAAAGAAAUCGUUCAGGCUAAUACCCUGGGAGGAUGACGGUACCCAAAGAAUAAGCACCGGCUAACUUCGUG